rnacentral:rRNA from 1 species
UACGUAGGGACCGAGCGUUGUCCGGAUUCAUUGGGCGUAAAGAGCUCGUAGGCGGCUGCUCAAGUCGAAUGUGAAAACUCGAGGCUCAACCUCGAGCCUGCAUUCGAUACUGGGCGGCUAGAGUCUGGUAGGGGGAUCUGGAAUUCCUGGUGUAGCGGUGGAAUGCGCAGAUAUCAGGAAGAACACCCGUGGCGAAGGCGGUUCUCUGGGACGGUACUGACGCUGAGACGCGAAAGCGUGGGGAGCGAACAGG